rnacentral:lncRNA from 1 species
UGGAGUCGUGACGUCAUAACUAUGCUUUGUAUUCUUCUGUCCCGUUUGCUAAAGUAAUUGAGGCGAUGUAAAAGAAUGUAUAAACAUCAACAAAAUUUUAUAUGAACUCAAGAAGUUUAGAUAAAAUAAGUUUUGCUAUUAAUGGAGAUUUAUAUUUGAUGUAUCAGCAAACACUCUUAAUCGAGUAGUAAUUUUUUCUGUAACAUUUGCGGUUGUAGAGAUUUUAAAUUCAUUUACAGUUUGUCAGUUUCUAAAACAUACAGCUAUUUCCUCAGUUUCUAAAUUUACUUACAUGCUUGAAAUAUAUCACAUGUUAAUUGUUAAUUUAUCUUUUUCUAGAGUUAUGAAAAGAUAUGAUUAUAAGAAAAAUUCACAUCAACAAUUAAUAUAUAAAAUUAUGACAUCAAAUUAGUGACUUCUUUGUAUUUACAUUCGUAUCCAAUAAGAAAUAUCCAUGUGACACCUAAAGUGUAUGCAGAGAUUCUAAUUUUAUG